ACCCCUCCAACCAACUUUUCAUCAUCAACCAAAAUCCCUCUCCCAAAACACUUUGUAAAAUAUUUCUUUAUGAAUACUUUAGUAGUUCCUCCUCUAAGCUUAUAAAAUAAAUAAGUCUAUAAUUAUGUGUGAUCGUUUUUAAUUCUCAAAGCUCAGUAGACUUUUUUGGGUUUCCCAAAAGGGAAAUCUCUCUCCUAUAAGCAUAAGUUAUAAUCACGGGUCUGUUGGUUUUCCACAUAAAAAUUGUCCAUUCACUACUGCAUGGGGACUUUUUAUGGAAAUAUUCAUUCCUAGAAUAGCAUGAUUUGGACUUUAAUUUAGGACAAACAAAUAUACGUGUCCAAAUAGUAAAUCAAUGGAGUUGGAAAGCAAUCUUUGGUGUAUACGGUCAUAAUCGGGCUUGCCCCUUUUUAUGAUUAAUCGAGGCCGGAGCCUAUGUCAUACCGGACCAAGACACGAAGUUAGAUGGCCAAGCUCGUGACUCAGGGACCGAUCGAGAUCGAGACCAGCCAAGAUCGAGACCGAGUGGGAUAGAGAUCGAGCAAGAUUGAGGGAAGCCUGCCGAGCCAAAUAACGAAAAGCCAAGAUAUCUGCGAUCGGGCGAGGAUCACAGCGGAAAUCUCGGCACGGAUCAAGAAGAGGCCGAUUAAUAAGCUAAUAAGAUAUUUCUUACCAUAUUUAGGAUUGUAUUAAGGGUAAGAUUCACCUACUAUAUAAAGGAGUCUGAUAAUUUGUAAAGAUCAUGAUAUUCAC